GGCCACUUCGGUGGUACUCGAGCGGCGAACGGGUAGAGUAACACGUGAGUAAUCUGCCCUUGGCUUUGGGAUAGCCACCGGAAACGGUGAUUAAUACCGGAUACGACCACUUCUCGCAUGGGAUGGUGGUGGAAAGUUUUUUCGGCCAGGGAUGUGCUCGCGGCCUAUCAGCUUGAUGGUGAGGUAAUGGCUCACCAUGGCUUCGACGGGUAGCCGGCCUGAGAGGGUGACCGGUCACACUGGGACUGAGACACGGCCCAGACUCCUACGGGAGGCAGCAGUGGGGAAUAUUGGACAAUGGGCGGAAGCCUGAUCCAGCAACGCCGCGUGAGGGAUGACGGCCUUCGGGUUGUAAACCUCUUUCGCCUGUGACGAAGCGCAAGUGACGGUAACAGGUAAAGAAGCACCGGCCAACUACGUGCCAGCAGCCGCGGUAAUACGUAGGGUGCGAGCGUUGUCCGGAAUUAUUGGGCGUAAAGGGCUCGUAGGCGGUUUGUCGCGUCGGGAGUGAAAACCAGGUGCUUAACACCUGGCUUGCUUUCGAUACGGGCAGACUAGAGGUAUUCAGGGGAGAACGGAAUUCCUGGUGUAGCGGUGAAAUGCGCAGAUAUCAGGAGGAACACCGGUGGCGAAGGCGGUUCUCUGGGAAUGACCUGACGCUGAGGAGCGAAAGUGUGGGGAGCGAACAGGAUUAGAUACCCUGGUAGUCCACACCGUAAACGUUGGGCGCUAGGUGUGGGGUCCAUUCCACGGAUUCCGUGCCGCAGCUAACGCAUUAAGCGCCCCGCCUGGGGAGUACGGCCGCAAGGCUAAAACUCAAAGGAAUUGACGGGGGCCCGCACAAGCGGCGGAGCAUGCGGAUUAAUUCGAUGCAACGCGAAGAACCUUACCUGGGUUUGACAUACACCCUGCCGCUCCAGAGAUGGGGCUUCUUUUGGGGGUGUACAGGUGGUGCAUGGCUGUCGUCAGCUCGUGUCNUGAGAUGUUGGGUUAAGUCCCGCAACAAGCGCAACCCUCGUUCUAUGUUGCCAGCACGUAAUGGUUGGGGACUCAUAGGAAAACUGCCCGGGGUCAAC
rnacentral:rRNA from 1 species